UACGUAGGAUGCAAGCGUUGUCCGGAAUUAUUGGGCGUAAAGAGCUUGUAGGCGGUUUGUCGCGUCUGCUGUGAAAUUUCGGGGCUCAACCCCGAACUUGCAGUGGGUACGGGCAGACUAGAGUGUGGUAGGGGAGACUGGAAUUCCUGGUGUAGCGGUGAAAUGCGUAGAUAUCUGGAGGAACACCGGUGGCGAAGGCGGCAUCCUGGACCAAUACUGACACUGAGGAGCGAAAGCCAGGGGAGCAAACGGG
rnacentral:rRNA from 1 species